rnacentral:rRNA from 1 species
ACGGGUGAGAAACGCGUAGGUAACCUGCCUGGUAGCGGGGGAUAACUAUUGGAAACGAUAGCUAAUACCGCAUAAUAGUAGAUAUCGCAUGAUAACUACUUAAAAGGUGCAAUUGCGUCACUACCAUAUGGACCUGCGUUGUAUUAUCUACUUGGUGAGGUAACGGCUCACCACGGCAGCGAUACUUAGCCGACCUGAUAGGGUGAUCGGCCACACUGGGACUGAUACACGGCCCACACUCCUACGGGAGGCAGCAGUAGGGAAUCUUCUGCAAUGGAGGGAAGUCUGACCGAGCAACGCCGCCUGAGUGAAGAAGGUUUUCGGAUCGUAAAGCUCUGUUGUUGUAAAAGAACAAUGGUGAGAGUGGAAAGUUCCCACUGUGACGGUAUCUUACCCCAAAGGGACGGCUAACUACAUGCCAGCACCCGCGGUAAUACAUAUGUCCCGAGCGUUGUCCGGAUUUAUUGGGCGUAAAGCGAGCGCACGCGGGUAUAUAAAUCUGAAAUUAAAGGCUGUGGCUUACCCAUAGUACGCUUUGUAGACUGUUUAACUUGAGUGCAAGAGGGGAGAGUGGAAUUCCUUGUGUAGCGGUGAAAUGCUGAGAUAUAUGGAGGAACACCGGUGGCGAAAGCGGCUCUCUGUCGUGCAGCUGAUGCUG